UGGGGAAACCCGCGUGGCGCGCGGCGACCUGGUCCUGUGACUGACGCUGAGGCGCGAAAGCGUGGGGAGCAAACAGGAUUAGAUACCCUGGUAGUCCACGCCGUAAACGAUGUGUGCUGGAUGUUGGGUGACCUAGUCACUCAGUGUCGUAGCUAACGCGAUAAGCACACCGCCUGGGGAGUACGGCCGCAAGGUUGAAACUCAAAUGAAUUGACGGA
rnacentral:rRNA from 1 species